ensembl:lncRNA
GGUCCCCCGCGGGCGUGGCACGACCCCCGCAGGGAGAUCAAGCAGCGCGAAGCUUUUCAGCGUCCUGGAGCCGCCUCUCAAACGUAACCCUACUCGGGCUCCCUGGGGCAAGGUUCCCGGGGUGGAGGGGACCUGAGAACGAGACCAGGGGUUUUAGGAUCCUGGGUCGCUGGGCAGGGCUGGCGUGACGGGGCGGCCCGGAGGCAGCUGAGCCCCCGGGCGCGGGGGACCACCGCGCGGGAGGCGGUCACGUCCUGCGCCGGCGGGCGGGGUGCGCAGGCACCGCAGUUAUUUCGGGACGCGCCGCGGUUCGCAGCACUUCCAGCCGCUCCACUUCCAGAGCUGUCCCAGGGCCCGGUUCUGGGGCGAAAAUGCCGGCCCUUCACAUCGAAGAUUUGCCAGAAAAGGAAAAGCUGAAGAUGGAAGUUGAGCAACUUCGCAAGGAGGUGAAGUUGCAGAGACAACAGGUGUCUAAAUGUUCUGAAGAAAUAAAGAAUUACAUUGAAGAACGUUCUGGAGAGGAUCCUCUGGUGAAAGGAAUUCCAGAAGACAAGAAUCCCUUUAAAGAAAAAGGCAGCUGCGUUAUUUCAUAAAUAACUCUGGGGAGACGCUUCAUCCUCAGUGGAAGAACUAGCUUGUUUUAGUUUGCCAGAAUGAAACCGACAUGCCUUUUAAAGAGAAAAAAAAAAAAAGAAUGAAAUUUAAAGGAGACUUUCUUCAGCACUUAUAUAGAUAUGGUUCUGUAUACAAGCUAUGUGCUUCUCAUCUUUGCUCACUACACUCCCCUUUUAAGAGGGCAGAGAGUAUCAAAUGUGCAGUUAUGGAAAGAAGGACAUUACUUGUGCAUGACUCACCUCUUUCAGUAUAUUGCUUGAUGCCUCAAAUAAAGUUUUAUCUCUGAAAAAUGAGUGUUGAUGAUUUAAGACAGCAUUUAAUUUUUUUGGCCUUAAAUUUUAUAUUUUUCCCCAUAACCUUUCUGGUAUUUGGGACAUGUAUCAAAAGAUGAGGUGGUUUGAUAGAUCAGUUCCCCAAUCCAGCUCUCUCUGCUUCAAUUCUUAGGAGGUUUACAGUGCUGAGUUCUGACUUCUGGAAUGUGUCUGAUCUAACGUUAACUAUUAGGGAAUUGAGUGAAUAGAACUGAACGCUAACAGGAAUCAGAUUAUUUGAGUCAGGAACCAGGCCAAGCCAUGCCUACAUAAGCACUUCUGUGGUUUGUCAUCAUACAGAUCUUGUUCAAACUGUUGCCGCAACAGUGGCCUUAGGAUAGGGAGAGGGUUGGGGUCAAGAGGAGCACCCGGGCGCCAGCCCUGGAAUGUUCACCCUCAGGGAGCUGCACCUCCUACAGGCUCUGCAGGUCUUGGCAUGGCCACCCUCCAGCUCUGUGUCAUUGGAACAGAGACUUGGUUCUGCGUGGCUUGGGCCAAGCACUGCUCUUUUCCUUCUCCUCCAAAGGGACAAGUUAACCUUGUACCCAUUUCUAAAAUUAGCUUGCUUUUUUCUCAUUGAUUUGCAGGAGUUUUUAAUAUAUUCUGACCAUGCAUCCUUUGUCGGUGAUAGGUGUUGGAGGUGCCUUCUCCCAGUCCAUGGCUUAACGUUCCACAGCGGGACCAUCGCUGCAGCGAUUUUAGCCCGCAGAUGCAGCACACCAGAGUACAUGGGCUGCUCAAGUCCUUCAUGAAGACACCCGUAGCCGGACCUUAAAGAAAGGGACCUUUCUUCCUCUCUUUGAGCAUUCUUCCUCCCUCUCCCUCUGUCUUUUGGAUGCAAGUUUCACCAGGUUUGAGCCAAAAACAAGACAAGGAAAACCCUUACAGCCUAGAUGCAUAGGUGUGCUUCAUCAAGCCAGAGAGGUGCCUGUGACUCCAGCAGCUUCCUCAAGUCUAUCAGCACCUUCACUAGGAACUACUUUCCCUUCCCUCUCCAAGAAGGAACGGGAUACCCCAGGCUUUUGAAAGAGCAGGUUACGGCAAACCAAGAGCUGGGAAUAUUUCCUUCAGUUUCUUGCCUUUUUUCCAAGUGUUGAAGUCAAUUGGGAUUACUGAGAGCCCAGGGAUAAUUUUACUCCAAAGGAGGAUUUACUCCAAGGUGAGGUUUAAGAACAGCAAAGGUAUUAUUUUUUGCCAGCAGCCAUAGAACAAUUAGUAUUUGGGUUAUGUUGCUAUUAUUUCAUUUAACAUUUAAAGUGGCAUGGGAUUUUAGUACCUUGGUGCUUGUAAAGUUUUACUUUAAUGAACUGUUUCAUUUAAGUCAUAAAGUUUUCUUCUGUUGCAUAAAAAAGCAAACAUCUAUUCUGCUUAUUGGUAAGACAGAUCAAAUCACCUGCUUCCUUCAUGAAAGGCCAACUCAAUGCAUUUAUCCACUAACUUCUUGAAGUUGGGGAUUACAAGGCUGUAUCCUGAAUUUCUAUCAGCCGCAUUCAGCUGCCCAUUCACAUGCAUCUGCAAGUCCUAGCUUCUGCUCUUCCUGUACCUUCAACCAUAUGACAAAUUAGUCAGCCUACUUCUGUUUUUUCACUAAUAAAUAUCCAAUCUUGUAGAUGUUUCUACCAAAUCUAAUCUGUUCUAUUUUCCUUACUGUUUCAUCAUCGUAACUCAGCAAAUCUAUAAGAAGUGUAAUAAAAUACUCUUGAUUUUCAAGUGUUGAACUUAUUAGCUUGCGUUAGGAAGAAAAUGAAAAUAUGGUAACUAUGUAUUUAGAUAUAUUAUAUAAGUAACCUUUAGUAAGUGGGAAUUUGUUAAGUAGAAUUCAAAUCAUGUGUUCAACUUCUUUCAGUAUAUAAUUGUGUAAUCAUUUGAUAUCUGAUUGAUUAAAUACUUAUUAUGCUUUGUGUAUUGAGACUUACGUUCUAUAAACCCACAUUAAAUUAGCAAAAUAGGCUUUCCUAAUUCUAGGCAGAAUCUACAUUACAAGCUCACCCCUACUUGGUAUUUUAAGACAGGUUAUUCUGUAUCUUGGAUGCAAACUGGUAUCUCAUUACUGUCUAAAUUUGCAUUUUCUUGAUUUCCUAUGACUUCUACUGUCAGAUUUUUGUGUACCUUUUGAUUACCUUCACCCAUUUCAACCACGCCCCCCACCCCCUACCAAUGGC